rnacentral:rRNA from 1 species
UACAAGCGAGUCUACCGUGCGCGUCGAACGGUAACAUUUCUAGCUUGCUAGAAGAUGACGAGUGGCGGACGGGUGAGUAAUGCUUGGGAACUUGCCUUUGCGAGGGGGAUAACAGUUGGAAACGACUGCUAAUACCGCAUAAUGUCUUCGGACCAAACGGGGCUUCGGCUCCGGCGCAAAGAGAGGCCCAAGUGAGAUUAGCUAGUUGGUAAGGUAACGGCUUACCAAGGCGACGAUCUCUAGCUGUUCUGAGAGGAAGAUCAGCCACACUGGGACUGAGACACGGCCCAGACUCCUACGGGAGGCAGCAGUGGGGAAUAUUGCACAAUGGGGGAAACCCUGAUGCAGCCAUGCCGCGUGUGUGAAGAAGGCCUUCGGGUUGUAAAGCACUUUCAGUUGUGAGGAAAAGUUAGUAGUUAAUACCUGCUAGCCGUGACGUUAACAACAGAAGAAGCACCGGCUAACUCCGUGCCAGCAGCCGCGGUAAUACGGAGGGUGCGAGCGUUAAUCGGAAUUACUGGGCGUAAAGCGCACGCAGGCGGUUUGUUAAGCUAGAUGUGAAAGCCCCGGGCUCAACCUGGGAUGGUCAUUUAGAACUGGCAGACUAGAGUCUUGGAGAGGGGAGUGGAAUUCCAGGUGUAGCGGUGAAAUGCGUAGAUAUCUGGAGGAACAUCAGUGGCGAAGGCGACUCCCUGGCCAAAGACUGACGCUCAUGUGCGAAAGUGUGGGUAGCGAACAGGAUUAGAUACCCUGGUAGUCCACACCGUAAACGCUGUCUACUAGCUGUGUGUGCCUUUAAGGCGUGCGUAGCGAAGCUAACGCGCUAAGUAGACCGCCUGGGGAGUACGGCCGCAAGGUUAAAACUCAAAUGAAUUGACGGGGGCCCGCACAAGCGGUGGAGCAUGUGGUUUAAUUCGAUGCAACGCGAAGAACCUUACCUACACUUGACAUGCUGAGAAGUUACUAGAGAUAGAUUCGUGCCUUCGGGAACUCAGACACAGGUGCUGCAUGGCUGUCGUCAGCUCGUGUCGUGAGAUGUUGGGUUAAGUCCCGCAACGAG